CCUACGGGUGGCAGCAGUGAGGAAUAUUGGUCAAUGGUCGUGAGACUGAACCAGCCAAGCCGCGUGAGGGAUGAAGGUACUGUGUAUCGUAAACCUCUUUUGUCAGGGAACAAAGGCUGGGACGUGUCCCCUGAUGAGUGUACCUGAAGAAUAAGCAUCGGCUAACUCCGUGCCAGCAGCCGCGGUAAUACGGAGGAUGCGAGCGUUAUCCGGAUUUAUUGGGUUUAAAGGGUGCGCAGGCGGUCUUUUAAGUCAGCGGUGAAAGCCCGGGGCUCAACCCCGGCGUUGCCGUUGAAACUGGGAGGCUCGAGUAGGAUAGAAGUAGGCGGAAUGCGUGGUGUAGCGGUGAAAUGCAUAGAUAUCGCGCAGAACCCCGAUUGCGAAGGCAGCAUGC
rnacentral:rRNA from 1 species